UCACCUUUUCUCUAUUUUUUUCUCCAUUACUGAAUCACAUCACCACUCUCUCCUCUCAGCCCUACGAACACCAAGAUGAAGAGCAACCGUGAUAAACCCCCAUCUUCACCAUUAACAAUUUUUUUUUUCUUACUUACUUCCAAAGUCGGUACCGUUUGCAUCAUCCUCUUCACCAUCUGCAACCACAGACUGUUCGCAAAGGGCUAGGGUUUGUCACCCAAGAAAUCAGCAAUCCUGGAAUUAGCCUUGGAUAUGUAUCAGAGGGUUGAAAAAUACAAGCCCAAGUUUCAGAUAUGUUUUGCUAUUUCUUAUUACUGUCAGGCUAUUGGAAUUAUAUAAAUACUUAUUUAAUUUCUAGAGUUCAUCUGUUUUUUUUUUUAAUUGUGGGGUUUUAUUUAUUUAUUUGGGUAUGUUAUAUGCUGUUGGCUCUUGGAAUUAUAUGGCUUCUUGGGUUAAAUGGAUUACGGUCUGUCUUGGGUUUUGGGUUUGUGAAUAGUUCAUCUAGUUUAACUGCUGUUCCAUUUUUUUUUUUUUGUAGUUUUUUUUUGAAGUUUUUUAAUUUCCAAUGACACAACAUCACACUACUUCACACUACUUUUCUUUUCUUAACCUAUUAACUAUCAAGAUAGCCAACAAAAAGAGAAUACAUUAUUAUUGGAACACAUUUUUAUUUUCAGAUCCUCACCCUAGGAUGUUUAUCUAAUUCUCUUUUUGCUCCUAGCUUUAGAUAUAUCACUGACAAAACAUCACACAAUUUUUCUUUUCUUAACCUAUUCACAAAAGAAAGAGUACACUUUUAUUUUUAGAUCUUUGAUAAAUCUGACAAUAGCAAAUGAAAGGGAUCGAAAAGUGGAAGAUAACAAAGAUCUUUGAUAAAUCUGACAAUAGCAAAUGAAAGGGAUCGAAAAGUGGAAGAUAACAAAGAUCUUUGAUAAAUCUGACAAUAGCAAAUGAAAGGGAUCGAAAAGUGGAAGAUAACAAAAUAAGUAAACCACAAGAUAGACUUACAGAGAUAGAAAUCAGAAAUGUAAAACUCUGAAAGUCUCCAACCAAAAAAACCUGAAAAGAAAUCACCAUUAGAAACGAACAGAAAACAUUAAGCACUGCAGGAAACAAUGAAAAAAAAGAAGAAGAAAGAAAUGCUAGUAGGGUAAGGUAACAAUGAAAGAAAGAAGAAAGAAAAGCCAGUAGGGUAAAGAAAA